CAGAUCUCAUGAACACUAGAUCUAUCUAUACACUCAUCAUUUUAAUCUACAAAUCGUUUAUUUUUUGUGUGUUAUCUUCUUAACAUCGAUUCACACUGCUUCGUUUGUGAUUAGAUCUCAGCAUCUAUUUGUUGUUGAUCAGAUCGUUGUUUUAUUUUAUUUGGAAAAUUCGAUUGAAAUUUGACUGAUCUGUUCGAUUAAACGUUGAAUCUUAAAUGGAUCUGUUGAAUAUCUUUCAUUUUGAAUUAAUUUAUGUUUUAUAGAUCUCACAAUCGCAGCUUGCAAUUCUGAUGUGAUUUAGAAGGAAACGGAAAAAACUGAAAGAAUUCUUUGGUGAUAUAAAGUGUCUCUUCAUCAAAUCUAACAUAUCAAUGACAUCUUUCAUGUCUUUUUUCUGAAUUAAUUAUGUAUUGUUCUUUUCAGUGGAAUCAUGAUGUUUUUCUCAGUUUUAAGGACAAGAUACGCUCAGGAUGUGAAAACCGGCAAAAUUACAGGGGCGAUUUUGGUAAAUCCAUGGAAUAUCACAGACGUAGCUUCUUCGAUUCUGUAUGCUCUCGAUAUGGUUUAUGAAGAGAGGGAAAAACGACACAAUUAUAACUUCAUGCAUGUCAUUACUCAUACAUGUCAAAAAUGGGCUGAAACUUUUCUUAGGAUCAAUCGCUUGACUUUAAUACGUUAUGUGCACUAUACGCCGUGGCUGAUGUCGCACUCAUUACAUCUGUAAUGGACGGAAUGAAUCUCGUAAGCUACGAAUUUGUGGCCUGCCUAGCUUCAAAGAAAGGCGUUUUAGUUCUAAGUGAGUUUGUAGGAGCAGCACAGUCUCUUGGUGCAGGGGCGAUUUUGGUAAAUCAAUGGAAUAUCACAGACGUAGCUUCUUCGAUUCUGUAUGCUCUCAAUAUGCCUUAUGAAGAGAGGGAAAACGACACAAUCAUAACUUCAUGCAUGUCAUUACUCAUACAUGUCAAAAAUUGAUUAGAGGUCAUGUUAGACCUGCUUGCAAACACUUUCUUGUUUAGAUUGUUUAGAUUGGUCGGUUUAGAACAACACCUACCUUUCGAGUAA